rnacentral:rRNA from 1 species
AUUCCAGCUCCAAUAGCGUAUAUUAAUGUUGUUGCAGUUAAAAAGCUCGUAGUUGGAUCUCUAACGCACGCGGCCGGUCCGCCCCUCACGGGGUGUGCACUGCGCCGUCGUGCGUUAUCCUGGGGGAGAGCGUCCCGCGCAUUAGGUUGCGUGGGUCGGGAUCCUCCACGUUUACUCAAAAUAAAUAAGAGUGUUCAAAGCAGGCGAUUGCUGUGAAUUCUUCAGUUGGGAAUAAUAAGAUAGGACUCGGGGACUAUUUUGUUGGUUUGCAUCUCCGAGUAAUGAUUAAUAGGGACAGUUGGAGAUAUUCAUAUUCAGUUGUCAGAGGUGAAAUUCUUGGAUUUACGGAAGAUGAACUACUGCGAAAGCAUUUAUCGAGGAUGUUUUCAUCA